rnacentral:lncRNA from 1 species
UAUUUUUUUCCAGUGUAAAGCUUAAAGAUAUGUGUCAAAGUGGGGAGAUCUAUUCUGAUGUUUUAUUAAGGAGAUUUAAACAAGGUAUUAUUUGAAUCCAGAAUAGUUUUAAAUUCUAGAAAAUUGGUGAGAAUUGUAAUCUUGUCCAGGAUAAAAAAUUAAAAACAAGAGAUGCUUACAGGACUCGGUAUCUAUGAUUUUAUUUAUUCACAUACCCAGAAACUGGUUGCCAAGAGACAGGCACAUAACCAUGAAUGUCUUUUCUGAAAUUCCUAAUCAAACAUGCUUACUCUUGCUGAUAAAUACAAAACAUCUGCCACUUUAAGGAUGUUUGCUUGUCUUUUUAAAAAUUAACAAGCUUUUUAAUCAACUAUUAUAAAUUGAUAGUAUAUGAAUAACUGAACUUAAAAAGCA